GCUCCUCCUUCAGCCUCUUCAGCACGGCCUUGUGUUCAGACUUGGGCGUGCUCUCCAGCAGAUGAUUCCUGAGGGCCUUGUACUGCCUGGUCUGGGUUUUACAAGUGUCUUGGAAUUGCUUCUUAAUCUGAAGCUCCUUAGACUGAGAAAAAUAGUGACCGUUAAGUGACGUGUGUGCCUGUGUGUGGUUUGUCAAAGGGUCUGUUUCAAAGUGUUUUUUGUACCUUGAGGCUCUUGGGCUGCUGUCGGACCUCCAUGACAUGUUUCCGCCUCAACUCCCUCUCCCUCCUCUUGUUGUAUUCCAGCUGGUUUGUGAGCUCGGUCUGGUGCUGGGUACGGAUCAGAUCUGCCCGCGCCUUCUGGAUCGUCCCCAGAUGCCUGAACUCCAGCUCCUGCAUCGACUCGUGAUGCCGGAGCAGCAUGGCGUGCUCCAGGUCCUUCUGUGUCUGCCGUUUGUUCAGCUCCUGGAAAAAAUGAGAGAAAUUCAGGGUGGAAGUGAUACAAGAGCAGGUGAUGCUCUGUAGUUGUCUCUGCAUGUUGAAGUACCUCUCUGGCCAGAUCCUGCUCCACAUUGUGUCUGGCGAUGAGGACCCUGCGUUUGAACCGACGACACUCCAGCUCCAGGUACUGCCUCUGUCUCCUCAGCAAGUUGGCCUCCUCCUCCGCCUGGAAGUGGACACGUGGUCACAUGACUAUAAUGUACAGUAUAUCUCACAAUUCGACGGAAAUGGAGACAAGAAAACUUGGCAAGUGAAGUUUUGGGGGACAAACGAGCCAAGCAGGGUCAAACCUAGGUAGUAAUUAGAUGAGAGGUACAUUUAGUUAAUGUUGGAGAUUCAACUAAUGGUGCAAAGAUCCAUUGCCAGGUUUGAGGAAAAUUAUAACCUGAUCUUGGAAAUGUACGUAAAGUCUGAGAAAUCCUCACCUGGAAGUGCUGGAUGUUCUCUUUCUGCUUGGAGAGCCACUCCUGCUUCUCUUUCUUUGGAGUCGACUGGUUCUCACUCAGUUCCUGCCACACAAGUGAUACUUUGUUUUCUUUCAGUGUCUCAGGGGGUCAUCACUAUCGGGUUUAAUAUCAACAUUUAGCAAUUCAAGAAUGGUGUUAACUGACUGGAUGAAACUCAAAACUUUUAUUUCAUGGAAACUGGCUUUGUGAGACACAGAGAAACUUUCAGGAAAUAUCGGUCUUGAGUCAUUAAGGUGAAGAACCAAACUGGCUUCUGAGAUAAUGAAGUGUCUUUGAAAGAACAAGAUAUCUGGUGAAAUCCCCCUGGCCCCAAAAAAAGACUUACUCCGAUGAGUAUUUUUUGCAUAUAUAUUUCUGUAUGUGCGUGUGUGUGUGUAUGUGUAUGUUACCUCUUUGAGCUGCUCCUUGCGUAGUUUAUAUUCUCGUUUCUGAGACUCCAGAAAGCUGCUGAGCUCUUUCUUCUGCUGCACCUGGAUGUGCUGCUGGAACUUCUUCUCAUCAUUGGAAAAUGUCUUCAGCUAAACCAAACAUGGACAAUGACUCUUUGUCCAGCCUCAGACGGUGCUCAUCCAUCUCGCCCUUCAGCUUGUUCUCCAGACCCAUCAGGUGCUUCUGAUGUUGCCGUCUCAUUCGUUUGUAUCCUGACAUCUGCUCCCGAAGCUCAGAGUCCUGCUCGUGUUCCUGCAUCUCUCGAGUCACCUACAAGAUACACGCCAGAGAGAAUCAGUGAGGUCUGGAUUAUUUUCAAAGGUCCACCUCGCUGCGGCUGUCCUGAGCCGCUUCAUUCAGGCUGUUGACGGAGCUGCUCUGGGAGCUGGCGCUGAUGGACAUACUGGGGAUGGACUGAUUACUGCCGACGCUGUUCACUGUUCCUGUUCGACCUCCACCAGGCUCCAGCUCCUGGGACAGAGUGGAAAGAGCACAGAGAGAGAGCGAGAAAGAGAGAGAGAGAGAAAGAAAGUGAAAGAGACGGAGAGGAAAGACGAGAAAGAGACACAGAGAGAAAGAGAGACAUGCAUACAAACCAAUGCAUGCCAAAUUAUUUUCUCUUCAUGGUUGUUUUACUGUCCCACACAAAUCUUCUUUGUAUUCAGGCAUCAUUAUUUUAACAUGCAACUCAGACGCACCUCAUCUCCAUCCUGGGCUUCUGCAGCGGGUCCGUUGUGAGCCUCGUGAAGGAGGAUCUUCUUCAUCUUACGGUACUGCAGGUUGUCCAGCUCUCGCACGGCAUCCUUGGUCCUUUGAAUAAGAUCCAUUAGCACAGAGUCUGGACGUUCACGCUGCAGAAAUGCAUGCUGCAGAGGAAGGUAGCAGGAAGGAAAAGACGGAACAUCAUUGAACAGAGAAGUCACAGAAGAAAAAGAAGGAUAACAGGAAUGAAAUUCAAGUUUUUGAUACUGAAACUUUGUGUUUAACAGCGUUAAUAGGCACGAAAGUUUGUGCACUUGUUGUAACGUGUAAUAGAUUUUUUUCUUCAGGAUGUGUAACAUGUAAACGGCAAGAGAGCGAGGUGAAAGAGCUUUUCAGUUUCCAGCGCGUUUGUGACCUCAAACGUCACACGACAGUGAAAUAAAAACAGAAAAAGGCUAACUCCUCUACUUGCAAUGAGAAAAGAGUCCAUUAGUGGGUUUACCAGUGGGUUUACCAGCAGGUUUACUAACGGAUGCCCUGCAUGUACUUGCUAAUUUUGGUGUAAAUGAGAUACCCAAAGAAAAAAAAGCAGAUCAUGUCUAAUGUCAAAGUUAGUUAUUAGGGCCUAAAAUAUAAUUGGAAAUCCCAUAGCUAUUGUAAUGAUCUGCAGCCCAUUAAGAAACAUUAACUAUGUUUUCCUGUACUUUGUAGUAAAGUAAGGUAAAGUUGGACCAGUAGUUAUACUGAAGAAGAUCAAUUAGAGAAUAAGUUAAAACUAGGGCUACGUUGUAGCACUUGCGGGGCCGAGCACCUGCACGUUGAAGCCUGUUGCAGUCGGUGGAGAGAGCGACCGAAGACCAAGCGCACGUCUCCGUGUUGCGCACUGCGGCAAGGAUAAACGCUUCACUUCCUGCGUCCGUCACGCAACGUCGAUCCUUGCCUGCUUAUUGCUCAUUACGGUCCACGCUAUCAAAUAGCACAUCACACUGUGAAAAUGUUAUAUAAGUCGAAUGAUAGUUGUAAAACAAAGCUUACUUCCUGUUGCCAGUAGGUGGCGCCAUCAAUAUUAUUACUCACAGACAAAAAGAUCUGUUCAAGUAGGCGCUCUGAUGUAGCGUGAGCAGUUUUGUGUCAAUUGGAUAAUAUUACCAUAAUGUAAUUUUCACACUGAUCAGUAGGUGGCGCUACAACACUGAACUAAUAUUUAUACAUGGAGCCGUUCAGGUCAGGAUUGUGAUCAUAGGUCAUUAGUUUGGAGCCGGUUGGAUAAUGCAGAGUGGAUUAACAAAGUACUUCCUGUUUCAUGGCAAAUCAGUAGGUGGCGCUAUGACACUGAGGAAAUAUUGACACAUAGAGCUGUUCAGGCCUGGACUCUAAAUAGGUGACAGAAGUUUGGUAGUGAUGGGACAAAGCACAGUGGAGUUAUGACAACAUCGUGUCCUUGUGUAGAUGUCAUCAGGCCGGG